rnacentral:ncRNA from 2 species
AUGCGCGCCGGAGAUGGCAUUCCUCCCCGAACCGCCGCCGGCAUCCGCCGGGGCUGAUGAUGCCUACGGAUAC